CUGUGGGAUGAACCAAACGCAGAGUUAAGGCGCCCAACUCGACGCUCAUGGGACACCAUGAAAGGCGUUGGUUGCUUAAGACAGCAGGACGGUGGCCAUGGAAGUCGGAAUCCGCUAAGGAGUGUGUAACAACUCACCUGCCGAAGCAACUAGCCCUGAAAAUGGAUGGCGCUGAAGCGUCGAGCCUAUACUCUGCCGUCAGCGGCAAGUGGGGCGGCCGUGGGCCGGGCGUUUAACGGCGCUCUCCCUACGCGCCGCCACGAAGCCCUGACGAGUAGGAGGGUCGCGGCGGUGUGCGCAGAAGGGUCUGGGCGCGAGCCUGCCUGGAGCCGCCGUCGGUGCAGAUCUUGGUGGUAGUAGCAAAUACUCCAGCGAGGCCCUGGAGGACUGACGUGGAGAAGGGUUUCGUGUGAACAGCCGUUGCACACGAGUCAGUCGAUCCUAAGCCCUAGGAGAAAUCCUAUGUCAAUGACGGCGUACGAUACUCGAGUGUCCGCGGCACACGGACUGCGAGCGAGCGAGCGUGCGCGCGCGCGAGCGCGCAUAGUAGUCCGCCGCCGCCGAGUCGCGCGCGCGAGUCGCGCCGACUCCGGCUUACGGCGGCGACGAAAUGCCGCGCCGCGCCGUGCACACAUAGCUCGCGAGCGAGCUAAGAGAUAGAGAGCGAGUGUGAGAGACACACGCCCGUCGGGCGAAAGGGAAUCCGGUUCCUAUUCCGGAACCCGGCAGCGGAACCGCAUACAAUUCGGGCCCUCGUAAGAGUGUUCGUCGGGGUAACCCAAAAUGACCUGGAGACGCCGUCGGGAGAUCCGGGAAGAGUUUUCUUUUCUGUAUAAGCGUUCGAGUUCCCUGGAAACCUCUAGCAGGGAGAUAGGGUUUGGAACGCGAAGAGCACCGCAGUUGCGGCGGUGUCCGGAUCUUCCCCUCGGACCUUGAAAAUCCAGGAGAGGGCCACGUGGAGGUGUCGCGCCGGUUCGUACCCAUAUCCGCAGCAGGUCUCCAAGGUAAAGAGCCUCUAGUCGAUAGACUAAUGUAGGUAAGGGAAGUCGGCAAAUUGGAUCCGUAACUUCGGAUAAACGAUUUGCUCUGAGGAGCGGGGCGUGUCGGGCUUGGUCGGGAAGCGGGUCUGGCUGACGUGCCGGGCCUGGGCGAGGUGAACGCCCGGUGUUCUCGCGCCGGUGCCGGGAUCCGAGCUCGGUCCCGUGCCUUGGCCUCCCGCGGAUCUUCCUUGCUGCGAGGCUUCCGUGUCGGCGCGAGCAGUCGUGGUCGUCCUCUUCGGCCGCCAUUCAACGCUCAGCUCAGAACUGGCACGGACUAGGGGAAUCCGACUGUCUAAUUAAAACAAAGCAUUGCGAUGGCCCUCGCGGGUGUUGACGCAAUGUGAUUUCUGCCCAGUGCUCUGAAUGUCAACGUGAAGAAAUUCAAGCAAGCGCGGGUAAACGGCGGGAGUAAUUAUGACUCUCUUAAGGCCUAGUGGGUAGUGGAAAAGUAAAACAUAAGCGUGGUUGCAUAAUAAUAGGUGUCCAACAAGUGGGUAGUGAAAAACAUAAGCGUGGUAGCAUAAUAAUAAGUGUCCAACAAGUGGGUAGUGGAAGAUACAGCCAAAGGUGUCAAUUAUGAGGAAUGGUGUUGAUGACGAGAGAUGGUGACGGAGUCCUGGCUACUCUUGACCGGUCCUCUCGGGCCCUUGAUACCCGCCUCGGCGGAUUCUUUGGGCCCAGGGUCGGCAUCGGCCUUCCUGAGAGUGACUCGCCACAGUCUGGAAUGAUCAAGCAUUAGUUCCGGGCUUAUUCCGGACUGUACCAUAGACCAAUGACCCAGUCGGGGCAGGUGUAGACUCGAAGUUGAUGAUUCCUCGGACUUACUCUGAGCCCAUAUUCUAGGCG
rnacentral:rRNA from 1 species